AUUGAACGCUGGCGGCAGGCCUAACACAUGCAAGUCGAACGACUGGCGGACGGGUAAGUAAUGUCUAGGCAACUGCACGAUGGGGGGGGAUAACUACUGGAAACGGUAGCUAAUACCGCAUCCCAUCGGAUGUGACAAGAUGGUAGUAGCUAGUAGGGGGGGUAACGGAUCAACUAGACGACGAGCCCUAGGUGUUCGGAGAGGAUGACCAGCAACACUGGAACGGAGACAAGGGCCAGACUCCUACGUGAGGCAGGAGUGGGGAAUAUUGGACAAUGGGCGCAAGCCUGAUGCAGCCAUGCCGCGUGUAUGAAGAAGGCCGUCGGGUUGUAAAGUACGUUCAGCGAGGAGGCGUUACUCGCAGAAGAAGCACCGGCUAACUCCGUGCCAGCAGCCGCGGUAAUAC
rnacentral:rRNA from 1 species